UGGAGGGGAAGUGGGGAACUAUUAUAUUGUAUUGUCUUAGCUUGCUGUUUAUUUGGAUCCAAGAAAUAUUUUUUUUAGGAAUAAGGAGGGGUUGCCCCUACUGUUUAUAUAUUAUAAAUUGAAAAAAGAGGGGAUACAAAGAGUACAUCCAAAAUUCAAGAGACAAAAAAGAGCAGACUAAAAAGAACUAUGAGAAGUGAGCUAUCCACCUACCAUGUGGCUCGAUCAAGU
rnacentral:lncRNA from 1 species